rnacentral:rRNA from 1 species
AUUGAACGCUGGCGGCAGGCCUAACACAUGCAAGUCGAGCGAGCGGCGGACGGGUGAGUAAUGUAUGGGGACUGCACGAUAGAGGGGGAUAACUACUGGCAACGGUAGCUAAUACCGAAUACUAUCGGAUAACACAUAUGGGAUUAGAUAGUAGGUGGGGUAAUGGCUCACCUAGGCGAAGAUCCCUAGAUGGUCUGAGAGGAUGAUCAGCCAUGCUGGGACUGAGCACCGGCCCAGACUCCUACGGAGGCAGCAGUGGGGAAUAUUGCACAAUGGUCGCAAGCCUGAUGCAGCCAUGCCGCGUGUAUGAAGAAGGCCCUAGGGUUGUAAAGUACUUUCAGUCGGGAGGCGUUACCGACAGAAGAAGCACCGGCUAACUCCGUGCCAGCAGCGGCGGUAAUAC